rnacentral:rRNA from 1 species
AAGUCGAACGGUAACAGGAAACAGCUUGCUGUUUCGCUGACGAGUGGCGGACGGGUGAGUAAUGUCUGGGAAACUGCCUGAUGGAGGGGGAUAACUACUGGAAACGGUAGCUAAUACCGCAUAACGUCGCAAGACCAAAGAGGGGGACCUUCGGGCCUCUUGCCAUCGGAUGUGCCCAGAUGGGAUUAGCUAGUAGGUGGGGUAACGGCUCACCUAGGCGACGAUCCCUAGCUGGUCUGAGAGGAUGACCAGCCACACUGGAACUGAGACACGGUCCAGACUCCUACGGGAGGCAGCAGUGGGGAAUAUUGCACAAUGGGCGCAAGCCUGAUGCAGCCAUGCCGCGUGUAUGAAGAAGGCCUUCGGGUUGUAAAGUACUUUCAGCGGGGAGGAAG